rnacentral:tmRNA from 2 species
GCUAGUAGUAUAGCUAUAGUAAUAAACGUAAUUUAGAAUAGAGGUUGCGGACUCGGGGGCAGUACCCGACGCCUCCACCAAUACUCGAUGAACUUCGUAUACCAGUCGAUAUCAAUACUGCUUAUCUUUUAAAAAUUGUAUUUUAUUUUGAGAGGUGAGCACCCGCAGCCUAUACUUAAUAGGUAAGGAUGCGAAUCCUUGAUAAAAUGAAAUGCAAUUUUUAAAAGAUAAGCAGUAUUUUAUGGGGGCGAAAUAGGAUCGACGUACCUAAUAAAAAGAUUGCUUUUACUCGGGAUGAUUCCGCCGAUGGCUUUUGCCAUAUGGGUCAAAACAAAGAAACGCAAACGAUAAUAAUCGUUCUGUAGAUUUAGCUCUAGCAGCUUAAUCCUACGCGGCUGGGGGUUUGCCGGGCAACAGAAAAACCCCAUA